rnacentral:rRNA from 1 species
GAUGAACGCUGGCGGCGUGCCUAAUACAUGCAAGUCGAGCGAACGGACGAGAAGCUUGCUUCUCUGAUGUUAGCGGCGGACGGGUGAGUAACACGUGGAUAACCUACCUAUAAGACUGGGAUAACUUCGGGAAACCGGAGCUAAUACCGGAUAAUAUUUUGAACCGCAUGGUUCAAAAGUGAAAGACGGUCUUGCUGUCACUUAUAGAUGGAUCCGCGCUGCAUUAGCUAGUUGGUAAGGUAACGGCUUACCAAGGCAACGAUGCAUAGCCGACCUGAGAGGGUGAUCGGCCACACUGGAACUGAGACACGGUCCAGACUCCUACGGGAGGCAGCAGUAGGGAAUCUUCCGCAAUGGGCGAAAGCCUGACGGAGCAACGCCGCGUGAGUGAUGAAGGUCUUCGGAUCGUAAAACUCUGUUAUUAGGGAAGAACAUAUGUGUAAGUAACUGUGCACAUCUUGACGGUACCUAAUCAGAAAGCCACGGCUAACUACGUGUCAGCAGCCGCGGUAAUACGUAGGUGGCAAGCGUUAUCCGGAAUUAUUGGGCGUAAAGCGCGCGUAGGCGGUUUUUUAAGUCUGAUGUGAAAGCCCACGGCUCAACCGUGGAGGGUCAUUGGAAACUGGAAAACUUGAGUGCAGAAGAGGAAAGUGGAAUUCCAUGUGUAGCGGUGAAAUGCGCAGAGAUAUGGAGGAACACCAGUGGCGAAGGCGACUUUCUGGUCUGUAACUGACGCUGAUGUGCGAAAGCGUGGGGAUCAAACAGGAUUAGAUACCCUGGUAGUCCACGCCGUAAACGAUGAGUGCUAAGUGUUAGGGGGUUUCCGCCCCUUAGUGCUGCAGCUAACGCAUUAAGCACCCCGCCUGGGGAGUACGACCGCAAGGUUGAAACUCAAAGGAAUUGACGGGGACCCGCACAAGCGGUGGAGCAUGUGGUUUAAUUCGAAGCAACGCGAAGAACCUUACCAAAUCUUGACAUCCUUUGACAACUCUAGAGAUAGAGCCUUCCCCUUCGGGGGACAAAGUGACAGGUGGUGCAUGGUUGUCGUCAGCUCGUGUCGUGAGAUGUUGGGUUAAGUCCCGCAACGAGCGCAACCCUUAAGCUUAGUUGCCAUCAUUAAGUUGGGCACUCUAAGUUGACUGCCGGUGACAAACCGGAGGAAGGUGGGGAUGACGUCAAAUCAUCAUGCCCCUUAUGAUUUGGGCUACACACGUGCUACAAUGGACAAUACAAAGGGCAGCGAAACCGCGAGGUCAAGCAAAUCCCAUAAAGUUGUUCUCAGUUCGGAUUGUAGUCUGCAACUCGACUACAUGAAGCUGGAAUCGCUAGUAAUCGUAGAUCAGCAUGCUACGGUGAAUACGUUCCCGGGUCUUGUACACACCGCCCGUCACACCACGAGAGUUUGUAACACCCGAAGCCGGUGGAGUAACCUUUUAGGAGCUAGCCGUCGAAGGUGGG